CUCUUAUCAAAGCUAAGUAUAUCAUCUGUAAACACCAUGGUACCUCCUCUCACCUAUUGUCCCCGCAAACAUCUGAGAUGGAACAGUUCUCCAAAGUCUUGUUUGGAACUCUUCAUACUGUUAAACAAAAUACAUCAGCUAUCGACUUUAUCUAACUUCAUUUGUCUCCUCUUAUGAUGUGUAUAGGUACCAUGAAAGUGUUCUAAUGCCC